GGCGGCGGCUCGGAUCGAAAGGGCGGAACAGCCCCCGGAGCGGUAUAAAUAAGGGCGAGAUCUCGCGAGACUUGGCCACGCGGCGCCAUGGAGGGAGCGGCGGCGGCGCGGGGCCACCAUGUUGGGAGCGGUGGAGGGCACCGCCCUGCUCUGCCCGCAUCUCCUUCCCUGGUAAACGAACAACUAAGGUCUCUUUGCCUCCUGUCGCGGACCACCAGGACAGGAGCUCAUCCAUCGCUUCACAGCGCAUCCUAGGAGCCUCUGGCUCCUCUGAGCAGCUACCGGGAAGAAGACGGGGCUUGCAGCAAAAAGGACGGCUCAGUGUCCCCCAGGCCCCUGGCUCUGGGCCCGGUGCUCCCGGCGGGAUGGAGAGUCUGGGGCUGCCAGCAGUGACCCUCAGGGACAGCACCACAGCCUACCUGCAGCAGGCUGCCAGAGGUGAAAAGCUGAUUGAAGGACAAGUCAUUGAACUUGAAGAUGGGACCACAGCUUAUAUCCAUCAGGUGACAGUUCAGAAAGAGUCUGUGGCUUUGGAAGACGGUCAGCCAGUGGUGCUGGAAGAUGGCAGCAUGGCCUACAUACACAGCACAGCUGAAGACAGUUACGAUCCCGGCACCUUCCAGGCCAUCCAGGUGGAGGACGGCUCCACUGCCUACGUCCACCGUCCUGUCAUCGUAGCAGCUGGCAGCACCAUCCUGGAAGUGCAGACAGGAACUGGGCUCGAGGAGUUAGCUGGGGAGGAGGAAGAUGAUGCCUUUGGUGUGGGGACCAUGAAUGCAUUACAGCAGUACAGCAGUAAGGGGUCUGACAAGGAAGAGGAGGGAGUGACAGACACCUGCCGUAUGAACCGUACGGACUCCAGCAACGUCCCUUCUCAGGAUUUGCAGGAGGAGGAGGUGCACAGCCAUGGGAAGGGACAGCAGGUCAGCAGCAGAGCUUUCCCCUGUGGGUACAAAGGCUGUGGCCGCCUCUACACCACUGCCCACCACCGCAAGGUACAUGAACGUGCUCACACAGGUGACCGACCAUAUACAUGUGACUUCCCAAGUUGUGGGAAAGCAUUUGCUACAGGGUAUGGGCUGAAGAGCCACAUGAGAACACACACUGGUGAGAAACCAUACAAGUGUUCAGAAGAUAUGUGUAGCAAAGCCUUCAGAACCUCUGGGGAUUUACAGAAACACAUCCGCACACACACAGGUGAGCGUCCCUUCAAGUGCCCCUUCGUGGGCUGUGGCCGCUCCUUUACCACCUCCAACAUCCGCAAGGUUCACGUCCGGACGCACACGGGCGAGCGGCCGUACGCGUGUCCAGAGCCCGGCUGCGGGAGGGGCUUCACCAGUGCCACCAACUACAAGAACCACAUGAGAAUCCACACAGGAGAGAAGCCAUACCUGUGCACUGUGCCAGGCUGUGGGAAGCGCUUCACGGAGUACUCCAGCCUCUACAAGCACCACGUGGUGCACACGCACUGCAAGCCCUACACCUGCAGCAGCUGUGGGAAGACGUACCGCCAGACCUCCACGCUGGCCAUGCACAAGCGCAGCAGCCACGGCGAGCUGGAGGCCACGGAGGACAGUGAGCGGGCCCUCUUUGAGCGGCUGCGGCUGGAGGUUGCUGCUGCUGACAGAGGGUGCCUGCUGAAGAGCCAGCAUAUUGCUUUCCUGUCGGAGAUGGAGGAAGAUGAAGAAGAUGAUGUUGUGCCUACACAGGUCUCACUUAUCUCUCAGGAUGGAACAGAGCAGGUCAGUCUGUCGCAGGAAGAGCUGCGGGCCCUGGGCAGUGCCAUCAGUGUGGUGACACAGAGUGGGGCCCUUGCCGUGCCCAAGGGAGAGCUGACGGGUGACACUCGCACCGUGACUGUGGCCAGCACCGAUGGCACCGAGACGCAGGGGGUGACUGUAGUCGCUUCUGGGGCAGUCGUGUCAGAGGAAUCCGCCGUUGCCCCUCUCCAUCAUCAGCAGGUGGCAUUGCUGGCCACUGCCCACGGCACCCACAUCACUGUGCAGAUGCCCUGCAUACAGAGGACAGCACAGGGAUGUGCUCCUGGGAUUGCAGAAUGCUCUUGUCUGGAAGAGCAGCAGAGCCUGGAGGAAGGCGUCAGCAUGGCUGCAGCAGUAAUCCACUAUGGACCGGUGACGUCUGACACAGCCGUAUCUGAGAAAGGGAGCUGAGCUGUAGGGAUUAAAGAAAUUGAGGAGAUUUGUGGAAUUGACCGAAUGUGUCCUGCCAAAGCAGCGACUGUCCCAGAGGAGGGCAGGGAGCAGGGUUUUGGCUCUUCCAGGGACCCCUGCAAGCCCAGAUUUGCGGAACUGUGUCAGUGAACACAUCUUACAGGCCCCUGAGCUGGGGAGACAGGCUUGGGCAGGUGCCCUCAGCCCUUCCACUGCCCCAGGCACUGGGCAGACAGAGCCAGCACGGGAAGCACCACAGAACCAUUUUGGCUGGAAAAGACCUUUGAGAUCGUUGAGUCCAGCUGUAAACCUGAGCCCAGUGCAGGCUCCCGGCAGUCAGGUGGAUUAUUUUCUGGACGUCCCCGAGGAGUUUGCAGAGGAAGAGGUUUCUGCGGGCACGGAACGGGCACAACCCGGGAGGGUGCAGCACGCUGGGUCUCCCCACACCUGCCCUGAUGCGAUUGAUGGCAAAACAAGGAGAGCUGGAGCCGUUCCAAAGCGCAGCCCAUGCUCCCGCUGCGAGGGGAAGCUCUGCGUCUCAGUCCCGGGAGGGGAAGCUGAUGCUUGAGCCAGGGAGGAGAUUUCUCUCCCCAGAGCGCAAAUGCCGACGAAGCGUUUGAUGUGUGGGCCGAGCCGAGCGCAGGGUCCGUGAGCCCCGGCGGCGCGGGGAGCGGAG